ensembl:lncRNA
AUUUGCCCAUUUCUACUGUAUAAAUUGUGUGUGCAAUUCCUCUUCCUUUUUUAGGUUUUAGAUGUGUAUAUGAUACAUUCUUUUGACUGUGUAGAGCAGUGGUUGUCUGCAUUGGGUCUGGUUUUUUUGUUUAGGUAGGCCCUAUCACUUAGAGACGUUUCUGAAUUUAAAAAAAAUAUUGUCAGUAUUGUUUUAUUCCCCCCAUUUUGGGUUGGAUGUGUCAACAUUUGGUUCAUACAUGCAUACAUACUAAAAAGUAAGAAGAUCCUCAGAAAAGUCUCUUUAAGACAUUUAUCUGAAUUAGUCACGUUAUCCAUUCAGUAUACAACUGUGGAGUCUGUUAUAAAACAAUGUUAAUACCAUUUUCUUGUUAAUGGGAUGGAGCUGGAUCAGUACCCUGCAGAGUAUUUUUCUUUUCACUGGGCAUUGGUUAUGGGUUCAAUCCUAUUUUUCUUCUUUAGUUGUUCUUUUUGUAAUCAACAUGCACUGGAAAGUACUUUGUAUCUGUAGAUCUGGUGGCUACGUGAGGUAUCCCUGUCCUUCUGUAUGGUGUCCUCUGGAACGCUCCUUUGAAGAACUAUCACGUGCUGGACUAGCUGAGUGUGUCUGUAGGAUAGCAGAUCAUUGACGAUGCUAUAACCACCACAUGGCAGUCUUAGAUUUUCUUUUUUGAAAGAGAAACAAGCCACCAUAAUUUGUCAGAGAGGGUUCUGGGAGCUGUGUGCUGCAAAUAGAUGCUGCAGAAUAUGACACAUCUGUGUCUAUCUCUGAACAGUGCGAGGCGAGAGGAACUCGGGAACCGAUAAACUGAAAGUAUUACUGACACCCUGGAAAAUGCCUUUACCUGCUCAGUUUCAACCAAGUCUUGAUUAUCACACACUCUUUGUAAUCCCAAGAAAAGAGACCCAGCGAAAAUGUAGCAUUUUUGUAAACAUUGACUGUGUGUUUUUCGAGACUGUACUGUGCACUCAUCUUUCUUUUUUUAUGUUACAUUGUGUAAGGAC